GUAACGGGGCUCAAACCACACACCGAAGCUGCGGGUGUCACGUAAGUGACGCGGUAGAGGAGCGUUCUGUAAGCCUGUGAAGGUGAGUUGAGAAGCUUGCCGGAGGUAUCAGAAGUGCGAAUGCUGACAUGAGUAACGACAAUGGGUGUGAAAAACACCCACGCCGAAAGACCAAGGGUUCCUGCGCAACGUUAAUCGACG
rnacentral:rRNA from 1 species